AUUGAACGCUGGCGGCAUGCCUUACACAUGCAAGUCGAACGGCAGCAUGGGUGCUUGCACCUGAUGGCGAGUGGCGAACGGGUGAGUAAUGCAUCGGAACGUGCCCUGAAGUGGGGGAUAACGUAGCGAAAGUUACGCUAAUACCGCAUAUUCUGUGAGCAGGAAAGAGGGGGAUCGCAAGACCUCUUGCUUUAGGAGCGGCCGAUGUCGGAUUAGCUAGUUGGUGGGGUAAAGGCCUACCAAGGCGACGAUCCGUAGCGGGUCUGAGAGGAUGAUCCGCCACACUGGGACUGAGACACGGCCCAGACUCCUACGGGAGGCAGCAGUGGGGAAUUUUGGACAAUGGGCGCAAGCCUGAUCCAGCCAUGCCGCGUGAGUGAAGAAGGCCUUCGGGUUGUAAAGCUCUUUCGGUGGGGAAGAAAUUGCUUCGGCUAAUAUCCGGAGUAGAUGACGGUACCCGCAUAAGAAGCACCGGCUAACUACGUGCCAGCCGCCGCCGUAAUAC
rnacentral:rRNA from 1 species